UACGUAGGGGGCGAGCGUUAUCCAGAUUUACUGGGCGUAAAGCGCGUGUAGGCGGCUGGUUAAGUCUGAUGUGAAAUCCUCGGGCUCAACCCGAGAACUGCAUUGCAAACCGGCCUGGCUAGAGUGCAGGAGAGGGAAGCGGAAUUCCAGGUGUAGCGGUGAAAUGCGUAGAUAUCAGGAGGAACACCAAUGGCGAAGGCAGCACUCUGGGACGGUACUGACGCUGAGACGCGAAAGCGUGGGGAGCAAACAGG
rnacentral:rRNA from 1 species